CUCCACUUAGUACAAAUUUAAUGGCUCCUUUAUCAACCUGCUGAUGUGGUAGAAUAAAUGGAUAUUUGUGAAGUAAUCUUAGAGUUGGGUAAAAAAUCCCUUCUCUUUGUCUAAAGAACAGCAAUUCUCCAUUCACAGUGAGGAUCUCUAUAUGUUCAUGACAUCUUACUAUUUUGACAGGGUCUUUCUUUGGCAUAAUUUGGUUUAGCCAUGGUUCAAUAACAGGAAAUUGGUCUAUCAGUUGGUUCUUAAUACCUUUAAUAACUGAAGUCUUCAGCUGGAUACAGUUCGAUACAUUCUCCUUUUCAUCAAAUUUUUUAAACAUCCUGGGGCGGUGGGCGCCGGGCGAGCGAGAGCCUGGGCCGGGCGUGGACCGGCGGGCGCGGGGUAGGCUGCCGGGCCUCCGCGCUCCCUCACACGAGGUCCCGGCCCUCCCCUCCGCGCC
rnacentral:lncRNA from 1 species